rnacentral:lncRNA from 1 species
AUAGAUAGGUUGGUAGAGAGGUGGAAAUUGACCCCUCUGAGCUUGCGCAUUCACUUACUUGACUAAGGUUCAUACAAGAUCGGAUUGGAAUCGAUGACUUCAACCUAUUACCUUAGUAGUCCUAGGCAUAUAAAAGGCAUUCCAUUUUUUCUAGGGAUUCGUUUAUCAACUCAUUCAGUUCAAGUGAGACGAAAUGAGUUGUCCCUAUUCCCUAUGUCUAACUAGUCUUCCGUUAGUUCGUAUUCGGCUAGCUUCAGUUAUUUAAAUAGACCAGGAAAGUCAAAAUAUUGAUUCCAAUGCUGCGGAGACAUAAUCUAAAGUUAUUUAAAUAGACCAGAAAAGUUAAAAUAUUUAUUCCAAUGCUGCUGAGACAUAAUCUACUUUAGGGAUUCACCUAGCAACUAAGCUCGUUCCACAAAAAAUGUCAUGGGGGAAAGCUCAUUUGAUUUUUCACGAUCAAGAAGUUUAAGAUCCUCUAUUUGAAUAAAUAUUAGAAAUAAGGAAUUAUUUUUAGUUCUGUCCACGGUUGUUGUUGUUUUCCUCC